GGUCAAUUGGUCAUUGCUCGAUUUUUAUCCUUGACUCAGUUUUUUCUUUGGCUGCUUGUUUUGUGUGAUAACUAAAUAAUCUGUUAUGUUUCUGUUCACCUAUAGGGUGUAGAGAAGCUGGUAACAUCAAAGAUGAUUCCGGAGGGGUCCAAUGAAGAAUUCACUUGGUGCACCAAAACUCUGGCCUGGAUCAGGCCUUUUGGCUGUGAGCUAUUCUUGGAGGUUAUCAUAGAUGGGCCGCAGCUCCACAUGAUCCAGUCUUCAGGGCUGUUGUAUGCGAGUUCUUACCAUAAUACUUGAGAUUGCCUUCAUUUUAUCUUUAUUUAAUUGGAUUAAGAAAGGAGUCAAAGGCAUACUGUCUAGUUUAUAAGAAUAUAUAGGCCUCAUGGUAGUGGCUGGACUUACCAGAUUAUGUGAUGAGCUGAUUUUUUAUUUUUUAUUUUGAAAAGAAUGUGAUGAGUUGAUUUGCAUUUCACUUACAUUCGCAACUUUGUUUGAUUGUAUUAAGAGUAUAUAUUGUAUUUAAUGUCUAUUAGACAUGCGCAGUGCUUGUUUCAUGGCUUGCGCAUUUGUUAUUUGACUAAAAUGUUUUGGAGCUGCACUGCAGAGAGAAAUAAGUUGCUAAAACGUGGUCAAUCAUUUCAAUUUGGAUUAUUUAGCUAUUUGUUUUCUGAUUCCGCCCAGUUUCCUUUCUUUUUUCUCACUAGGACACAUUUAGUAUUGCCACACUCGUAUCAUAUUAUUGCACUAAAUUAGAUUAUCACAUAAGUACCAUCAUAACAGGUGUUUGUGCUUGUGCAAUGACCCCUCUGCAGCUAUUAUUAGUGUAUAUGCUUGUUUUAAUGAGUAGCAGUCCAUGUCAAAUAGCUCAAAUGGGAAAGGUGCUCAUAUUCUUAUGUUUGGAUUUGGGAUUAGCACAUAACAGAAUAGAUUUAGUUUUUCAUUUUGAUGUAUGACACUUCUAUCUAUUUAGCAGUUUUUUUUUUCCUUUUUGAUGUUAUUAAAUACUAAGUAAGAAACAAUCUCUUUUCUGUAUCCAUGACGGUAAUAAUUCGCUGUUACUUAUUUUGGAGUAGCGCCACGACACCAAGCUUGGCAUGAGACUGCAGUUCAUAGGACGACGAACAGAUUUCACAUGAUGUGGUUGCAUCUAUACAACCCAUUUUCUUAGGUUCAUCUGUUAAUUCGCUAGGGGGGGCUUUGGGGUUUUGGAAAGAGCUGCCAAUUGGCAGCAGAAUACAAUAGGCUAGCAGCCUAGCGCUCUAAGUGAGAUUAUAAUAACUGUAGGUUUUUUCUUGGCACGCAUUCUUGUGAUGUAGGUUUGUUAUAUCGAGGUGCUGGUGCCAGUCAGCCAGUGGCAGCCCUGUUUGAGAGAUUCCAUUCCAUCCCAGAGAGUAUGCUUCAGUUGACAACUGACCUUAAUUAAAGUGGCAGGCAUGUUAGAAUUACCCCAGAACCGACAGCAUCAUUCACAAUUAGCGCGACUAGGUGAGAUUUCUCUACUCCUCUAUUGCUCUGGAACCUUAUUCCUUCUUUCUGAAUCUAAGGUAUACAUGACAUGAGUACAUGACGACGCCACGGGCAAAGCUUCUGAGAGCUGGAGUGGGUGUGUGAAGUGCGAUGAAUCGAGAAGAGCCAAGUUGAGAAGGGCGCCUUUGCUGUCUAGGAGCAAUUAUGGUAGGCUAAAAGCAGAGGUGGAGAAGAGAGAGGGGAAGUGGGUUGUUAUCUUACAACUAGCUUCGACACAAGAACUAAUAUAUUUUGUGAGAUAGAUAAAUGAACCAUAUAUUUAUGGUGGAGAGUUAAAUCAUUAUACAAAUGAGCUGAGAAAUGAGCUGUAAAGAUUU